rnacentral:rRNA from 1 species
ACGAUACCAACUAGCGUUCCGCCAGUGGCAAGCACGCCUUGGUUGGCAGCUUCCCGGAAACGAAAGUUUUUCGGUUCUGGGGGAAGUAUAGUUGCAAAGCUGAAACUUAAAGAAAUUGACGGAAGGGCACCACCAGGAGUGGAGCCUGCGGCUUAAUUUGACUCAACACGGGAAAACUUACCCGGCCCGGACACUGUAAGGAUUGACAGAUUGAUAGCUCUUUCUUGAUUCAGUGCUUGGAGGUGCAUGGCCGUUCUUAGUUGGUCGAUUGAUUUGUCUGGUUUAUUCCGAUAACGAGCGAGACUCUAGCUUACUAAAUAGUUCAUGGAUUAUCGUUGUCAAAAACAAACAUGCAUGCCUAUAAAACAUGUAUGUUCGUCCAUGUUAUACUUCUUAGGAGGACAACCGGUGUUUAGCCGCAUGAAGUUGAGCAAUAACAGGUCUGUGAUGCCCUUAGAUGUCCGGGCUGCACGCGCGCUACAAUGCAAGAGGCAGCGUGCUGUAACCAUUUUCGUUUGGGAUUGGUAACCCCUUCAAAAUCUUGCAUAACUGGGACAGGAAAUUGCAAUUAUUUGCCUUGAACGAGGAAUUCCUAGUAAAUGUGAGUCAUCAGCUUACGUUGAUUACGUCCCUGCCCUUUGUACACACCGCCCGUCGCUAGUACCGAUUGAAUGGCUUAGUGAGGCCUCAGGAUGCGCUUAGCCUGGGGGGCGACUCCCGGGCAGAGCUCAGAAUUUGGUCAAACUUGGUCAUUUAGAGGAACUAAAAGUCGUAACAAGGUUUCCGUAGGUGAACCUGCGGAAGGAUCAUUACAGAGAUACAACGUUGAAGUUGAGGCGGGGGGGAGAGGCGCUUUGAAGGGGGCUGGCGCUGCGGAGCACUGUUCCUACGGGGACAUGUGCCUGCGGGGCUGUUCCUGCCUGUGCUUCCCUGCUCUUCGACACACACACUGUGGAGUGUUCUAUGACUCUUUUUGUUUCAGCCUGGGUCUCUUUCCCGGGCGCAGACACAAACAAGACAUGUGGAGGAUAAAGUACACAAGAUCUACAAACACAACUAUCAAAACUUUCAACAACGGAUCUCUUGGUUCUCGCAUCGAUGAAGAACGCAGCGAACUGCGAUACGUAAUGCGAAUUGCAGCUUCCGUGAAGCAUCGUUUCUUUGAACGCACAUUGCGCCCCCCGGUAUUCCAGGGGGCAUGCCUGUCUGAGCGUCGUUUCCUUUCUCAGCGUCUCUGCUGGUUGUGGGCGGCACCCGUCUGGCAACGGACGGGUCAGCGUGAAAGUGUGGAUGGGGGAGGGACUUCCUCCCGGUCACUGCGGCGACACACACACUUGGCGUGGGUGACACCAGGCCAGGCUGGGCGCUGUCGAAGUUAGGUUGUUGUUCUUGCAUCAGCACAUCUUUGGCGGUAAGCGCACGGUCUUUGCGCGUUGCCCUGCAGCACGAAGUUUGACCUCAGAUCAGGUAGGACUACCCGCUGAACUUAAGCAAAUCAAUAAGCGGAGGAAAAGAAACCAACCGGGAUUGCCUCAGUAACGGCGAGUGAAGCGGCAAGAGCUCAGAUUUGAAAUCUGCUACCUUUGGUAGCCGAGUUGUAGCGUGUAGAGUGCUGUCCCGGAUGUACGGCGCUGCCUAGGUUCCCUGGAAGGGGACGCCGGAGAGGGUGAGAGCCCCGUG